AACGAACGCUGGCGGCAGGCUUAACACAUGCAAGUCGAGCGCGUAGCAAUACGAGCGGCAGACGGGUGAGUAACGCGUGGGAAUCUACCGUACCCUAUGGAAUAGCCCCGGGAAACUGGAAGUAAUACCAUAUACGCCCGAAAGGGGAAAGAUUUAUCGGGGUAUGAUGAGCCCGCGUUGGAUUAGCUAGUUGGUGGGGUAAAGGCCUACCAAGGCGACGAUCCAUAGCUGGUCUGAGAGGAUGAUCAGCCACAUUGGGACUGAGACACGGCCCAAACUCCUACGGGAGGCAGCAGUGGGGAAUAUUGGACAAUGGGCGCAAGCCUGAUCCAGCCAUGCCGCGUGAGUGAUGAAGGUCUUAGGAUUGUAAAGCUCUUUCAUCGAUGAAGAUAAUGACGGUAGUCGGAGAAGAAGCCCCGGCAAACUUCGUGCCAGCCGCCGCAGUAACAC
rnacentral:rRNA from 1 species